AUGGCGGCUUUAUAAUGAGAGUCAUAAUGUAGCGAAAUGCCUGCACAGAAGAUUUGGGAAAUCUUCAUCCUAUGGGCCAAACUACCAAAUUCCGGGGAACCCCUAAAGCUUAUAUUACCAAGUUAUUUAUUGAAAAAUAGAUAAUGGCUGAACUAAUCAUUCAGGUAUGGUAACAAGAUAUAAGAUACAUGAAAAUGAAAUGGGCAAUCGCGGAUCUAAAUCAUUAUAAAUAAAUUUUAUAAUGUAAAAGAGCAACGAGUAUACGGUAGUUAUCGAAAUAAUUUAUUAGUUACACUUCAAGGAGAAGAGCAUAUAAAUUAAUUACGAUUAAGAUGUACUCUAACGGCUUGCGAAAGUAAGUA
rnacentral:ncRNA from 1 species